rnacentral:rRNA from 1 species
GAUGAACGCUGGCGGCGUGCCUAAUACAUGCAAGUCGAGCGAAUGGAUUGAGAGCUUGCUCUUAUGAAGUUAGCGGCGGACGGGUGAGUAACACGUGGGUAACCUGCCCAUAAGACUGGGAUAACUCCGGGAAACCGGGGCUAAUACCGGAUAACAUCUUGAACCGCAUGGUUCGAAAUUGAAAGGCGGCUUCGGCUGUCACUUAUGGAUGGACCCGGGUCGCAUUAGCUAGUUGGUGAGGUAACGGCUCACCAAGGCAACGAUGCGUAGCCGACCUGAGAGGGUGAUCGGCCACGCUGGGACUGAGACACGGUCCAGACUCCUACGGGAGGCAGCAGUAGGGAAUCUUCCGCAAUGGACGAAAGUCUGACGGAGCAACGCCGCGUGAGUGAUGAAGGCUUUCGGGUCGUAAAACUCUGUUGUUAGGGAAGAACAAGUGCUAGUUGAAUAAGCUGGCACCUUGACGGUACCUAACCAGAAAGCCACGGCUAACUACGUGCCAGCAGCCGCCGUAA